rnacentral:sRNA from 1 species
ACUCAACACGAUUCUAUUCUAAAAGGUGAGUCUUAUGUACGAAAGCGUGCCGUCUUUGAGCGGAUACUUGACCACAUAGUUAGCCUUAAUCCUAUUGAAUGGAGUUU